rnacentral:rRNA from 1 species
GACGAACGCUGGCGGCGUGCCUAAUACAUGCAAGUAGAACGCUGAAGGAGGAGCUUGCUCUUCUGGAUGAGUUGCGAACGGGUGAGUAACGCGUAGGUAACCUGCCUGGUAGCGGGGGAUAACUAUUGGAAACGAUAGCUAAUACCGCAUAAGAGUAGAUGUUGCAUGACAUUUACUUAAAAGGUGCAAUUGCAUCACUACCAGAUGGACCUGCGUUGUAUUAGCUAGUUGGUGGGGUAACGGCUUACCAAGGCGACGAUACAUAGCCGGCCUGAGAGGGUGAUCGGCCACACUGGGACUGAGACACGGCCCAGACUCCUACGGGAGGCAGCAGUAGGGAAUCCUCGGCAAUGGACGGAAGUCUGACCGAGCAACGCCGCGUGAGUGAAGAAGGUUUUCGGAUCGUAAAGCUCUGUUGUAAGAGAAGAACGAGUGUGAGAGUGGAAAGUUCACACUGUGACGGUAUCUUACCAGAAAGGGACGGCUAACUACGUG